rnacentral:rRNA from 1 species
GAUGAACGCUGGCGGCGUGCCUAAUACAUGCAAGUCGAGCGAACGGACGAGAAGCUUGCUUCUCUGAUGUUAGCGGCGGACGGGUGAGUAACACGUGGAUAACCUACCUAUAAGACUGGGAUAACUUCGGGAAACCGGAGCUAAUACCGGAUAAUAUUUUGAACCGCAUGGUUCAAAAGUGAAAGACGGUCUUGCUGUCACUUAUAGGUGGAUCCGCGCUGCAUUAGCUAGUUGGUAAGGUAACGGCUUACCAAGGCAACGAUGCAUAGCCGACCUGAGAGGGUGAUCGGCCACACUGGAACUGAGACACGGUCCAGGCUCCUACGGGAGGCAGCAGUAGGGAAUCUUCCGCAAUGGGCGAAAGCCUGACGGAGCAACGCCGAGUGAGUGAUGAAGGUCUUCGGAUCGUAAAACUCUGUUAUUAGGGAAGAACAUAUGUGUAAGUAACUGUGCACAUCUUGACGGUACCUAAUCAGAAAGCCACGGCUAACUACGU